rnacentral:rRNA from 1 species
CCUACGGGAGGCAGCAGUGAGGAAUAUUGGUCAAUGGACGAGAGUCUGAACCAGCCAAGUAGCGUGAAGGAUGACUGCCCUAUGGGUUGUAAACUUCUUUUAUAUGGGAAUAAAAUGUUCCACGUGUGGGAUUUUGUAUGUACCAUAUGAAUAAGGAUCGUCUAACUCCGUGCCAGCAGCCGCGGUAAUACGGAGGAUCCGAGCGUUAUCCGGAUUUAUUGGGUUUAAAGGGAGCGUAGGUGGAUUGUUAAGUCAGUUGUGAAAGUUUGCGGCUCAACCGUAAAAUUGCAGUUGAAACUGGCAGUCGUGAGUACAGUAGAGGUGGGCGGAAUUCGUGGUGUAGCGGUGAAAUGCUUAGAGAUCACGAAGAACUCCGAUUGCGAAGGCAGCUCACUGGACUGCAACUGACACUGAGGCUCGAAAGUGUGGGUAUCAAACAGGAUUAGAUACCCCAGUAGUC